rnacentral:rRNA from 1 species
CCUACGGGAUGCUGCAGUAGGGAAUUUUGCGCAAUGGGCGAAAGCCUGACGCAGCAACGCCGCGUGAUUGAUUAAGCCCUUCGGGGUGUAAAGAUCUGUCAGUGGGGACGAAACUUGACGGUACCCACAGAGGAAGCACCGGCUAACUCCGUGCCAGCAGCCGCGGUAAUACGGAGGGUGCAAGCGUUGUCCGGAAUCAUUGGGCGUAAGGGGUUCGUAGGUGGCAUAUUAAGUCUGGUGUUAAAUGCAGAAGCUCAACUUCUGUUCGGCACUGGAUACUGGUAAGCUUGAGUGCGGUAGAGGUAAAGGGAAUUCCUGGUGUAGCGGUGAAAUGCGUAGAUAUCAGGAGGAACAUCGGUGGCGUAAGCGCUUUACUGGGCCGUAAUUGACACUGAGGAACGAAAGCCGGGGUAGCAAAUGGGAUUAGAUACCCUGGUAGUC